rnacentral:rRNA from 1 species
UACGGAGGAUCCAAGCGUUAUCCGGAUUUAUUGGGUUUAAAGGGUGCGUAGGCGGCUUUUUAAGUCAGUGGUGAAAUACAGCAGCUCAACUUUUGAGGUGCCAUUGAUACUGAGAGGCUUGAGUACAGAUGAGGUAGGCGGAAUUUAUGGUGUAGCGGUGAAAUGCAUAGAUACCAUAAAGAACACCGAUUGCGAAGGCAGCUUACUAAGCUGUAACUGACGCUGAGGCACGAAAGCGUGGGGAGCGAACAGG